rnacentral:rRNA from 1 species
AUGAUCCACUACCGCUCUGCUGUUGGGACUAAUUUGGAUGGGAAUGGUGAUUUGAUGGUUGAUUAUGAUUACUUGGUUCUUGCUCUUGGAGUUACUGUGAAUACAUUCAACACUCCUGGUGUGAUGGAGCAUUGCCACUUUCUGAAGGUAGUGGAGGAUGCCCAAAAGAUUCGGAAGAGCGUGAUAGACUGCUUUGAAAAGGCGUCACUUCCUAACCUUAGUGAAGAGGAGAAAAGGAAGAUCCUUCACUUUGUGAUUAUCGGUGGUGGACCUACUGGGGUUGAAUUUGCUGUGGAGUUGCAUGAUUUUCUUGUCGAAGAUCUGGUGAAGCUAUAUCCUGCAAUUGAAGAAAACUCUCAACUCCUACUUGCGCUCCGCCUCUUCCUCCUUUUCAUCGCUCAAUAG